UCAGGAUGAACGCUGGCGGCGUGCUUAACACGAUGGCAAGUCGAACGGAGUUUUUAAACGGAAGUCCUCGGAUGGAAGUUUAGAAACUUAGUGGCGGACGGGUGAGUAACGCGUGGGUAACCUGCCUCAGUACAGGGGGAUAACAGUCGGAAACGAUUGCUAAAACCGCAUAACAUAGCGAAACCGCAUGAUUUUGCUAUCAAAUAUUUAUAGGUAUGAGAUGGGCCCCGCGUCUGAUUAGCUAGUUGGUGGGGUAAUGGCCUACCAAGGCGACGAUCAGUAGCCGGCUUGAGAGAGUGACCGGCCACAUUGGGACUGAGACACGGCCCAAACUCCUACGGGAGGCAGCAGUGGGGAAUAUUGGACAAUGGGGGAAACCCUGAUCCAGCCGACGCCGCGUGAGUGAAGAAGUAUUUCGGGUAUGUAAAGCUCUAUCAGCAGGGAAGAUAAUGACAGUACCUGACUAAGAAGCCCCGGCUAACUACGUGCCAGCCGCCGC
rnacentral:rRNA from 1 species